rnacentral:misc_RNA from 1 species
GUAGUCACCCGGGUUGCCGCAAGGCCUCUCGGGUAACCUACCACCCUUUGUUUAUUACACUUUGUUGCUUUGGCAAGCCUGCCCUCGGGCUGCUGGCUCCGGCCGGCGAGCGCUUGCCAGAGGGCCCCAACUCGUGGAUAGUUUAUGUUUGUCUGAGUACGAUAUAAUCGUUUACAACUUUUAACAAUGGAUCUCUUGGCUCU